AGCGGCGGACGGGUGAGUAAUGCCUAGGAAUCUGCCUGGUAGUGGGGGACAACGUUUCGAAAGGAACGCUAAUACCGCAUACGUCCUACGGGAGAAAGCAGGGGACCUUCGGGCCUUGCGCUAUCAGAUGAGCCUAGGUCGGAUUAGCUAGUUGGUGGGGUAAUGGCUCACCAAGGCGACGAUCCGUAACUGGUCUGAGAGGAUGAUCAGUCACACUGGAACUGAGACACGGUCCAGACUCCUACGGGAGGCAGCAGUGGGGAAUAUUGGACAAUGGGCGAAAGCCUGAUCCAGCCAUGCCGCGUGUGUGAAGAAGGUCUUCGGAUUGUAAAGACUUUAAGUUGGGAGGAAGGGCAGUAAGUUAAUACCUUGCUGUUUUGACGUUACCGACAGAAUAAGCACCGGCUAACUCUGUGCCAGCAGCCGCGGUAAUACAGAGGGUGCAAGCGUUAAUCGGAAUUACUGGGCGUAAAGCGCGCGUAGGUGGUUUGUUAAGUUGGAUGUGAAAGCCCCGGGCUCAACCUGGGAACUGCAUCCAAAACUGGCAAGCUAGAGUACGGUAGAGGGUGGUGGAAUUUCCUGUGUAGCGGUGAAAUGCGU
rnacentral:rRNA from 1 species